UAGAGCUAGCUUUUAGUCGUGGUGCUGAUCUAUCACCACUAGAGGUAAAUGAUGAGAUAGCUGCUUCAUUGCAUCAAGAGCACACACUGCCAAUAAUGGGUCCUGAAAGGCUUCAAGAAGUCGGGUCAUAUCUUACGUUGGCAAACAUGGAAAAACUGGUGCGUCCAUUUGCCAUGCCAGCUGAAGAUUUCCCACCACCGUCAACUCCUCAAGGGUUCUCUGGAUAUUUCUCAAAAAGUGCAUCAGUUCUAGAGCGCCUAGCAAAGAUAUGGCCCUUCCACAAGCAUGUGAACAACAAUGGGAAGUAGUACAAUAUUAUUUUCCCCUGUUGGAUGUUUCUGCUAUCAAACUGAGUUGUGGAGAUUGUUUCCUCUGGAGGUAUUUUACAUUCAAAUCAGUAGCAGCUGAAGAAUUCUGGAAGAGGAGCUACACUAUCAAUUACCGUUCAUUUAGACAUCCUUUUACCUUGUUCGUUCUCUCUCUCUUCCAUUUUUAGUUCACAUAGAUAAGGAAAAAUUUUGCAGUAACGUUUAGCGCCAGCCUGGGCUCACAACUAAAUAUAUAAUAGAGUCAGCCUAUAAUGUAAAUGAGCUCUACUAUGAAUUCUUG
rnacentral:misc_RNA from 1 species